GUCUUUUUAUUGGCUUUUAGUAAACUUACACAUGCAAGUAUCCUCAGACCGGUGAAAAUGCCCUCAAUAUCACAAAUAUACAAUGAUCAAGAGGAGCAGGUAUCAAGUACACUAACAUUAGUUGCUCACAACACCUUGCUUAACCACACCCCCACGGGUUACAGCAGUGAUUAAGAUUAAGCACAUGAACGAAAGUUCGACUAAGUUAUACUAUAUUAGGGUUGGUAAAUUUCGUGCCAGCCACCGCGGUCAUACGAUUAACCCAAGUCAAUAAAACACGGCGUAAAGCGUGAUUAAAAAAUUAACCUAAUAAGACUAAGCUUAGACUAAGCUGUAAAAAGCCCUAGUCAUAAUAAAAAUCACUAAAACGAAAGCAGCCUUAGAAAAUUUGAAUUCACGAUAGCUAAGACCCAAACUGGGAUUAGAUACCCCACUAUGCUUAGCCCUAAACUCAAACAUUCAACUAACAAGAAUGUUCGCCAGAGUACUACCAGCCACAGCUAAAAACUCAAAGGACUUGGCGGUGCUUUACAUCCCUCUAGAGGAGCCUGUUCUAUAAUCGAUAAACCCCGUUAUACCUUACCACCUUUAGCAUAAUAUCAGCCUAUAUACCGCCAUCUUCAGCAAACCUUAUUAAAGCCUUACAGUAAGCAUAAUUAUAAUAUAUAAAAACGUUAGGUCAAGGUGUAGCCCAUAAGGUGGGAAGAAAUGGGCUACAUUUUCUAAUUACUAGAACAUUACCACGAUAACUUUUAUGAAAUUAAAAGCCUAAGGCGGAUUUAGUAGUAAGUCAAGAAUAGAGAGCUUGACUGAAUUGGGCAAUAAAGCAC
rnacentral:ncRNA from 1 species